UACGAAGGGGGGCUAGCGUUGCUCGGAAUUACUGGGCGUAAAGGGAGCGUAGGCGGAUAGUUUAGUCAGAGGUGAAAGCCCAGGGCUCAACCUUGGAAUUGCCUUUGAUACUGGGGAUCUCGAGUCCGGAAGAGGUUGGUGGAACUGCGAGUGUAGAGGUGAAAUUCGUAGAUAUUCGCAAGAACACCAGUGGCGAAGGCGGCCAACUGGUCCGGUACUGACGCUGAGGUGCGAAAGCGUGGGGAGCAAACAGG
rnacentral:rRNA from 1 species